AUACUUACCUGGACGAGAUCAAUGGGUGAUCAAAAAGGCCUGUGGUCUAGGUCUGUGACCUCCAUUGCACUCAGGAGGGGUGCCCGCCUAAGGUCUACCCAAGUGGUGGAGCCUACUUCAUAAUUUGUGGUAGUGGGGACCGCGCGAAUGAAAAGUUGUGUUUCCUAU